rnacentral:lncRNA from 1 species
ACUCAAGUAGUUGUUAAUAAAUUGCCUCCAUCUCCUCAGUGAAACACUAUACCUGAAGAAUAAGUUUAGUUACAUCCAGAUCUUAUCUAGAUUCCUUAAAUUGCAGGAUCUAUUAAAGCUCUUGUGAUCGCUCCUCCAAUUUCACAUUUAACCUCACAACCUGAAGCUUUACUUGACUUCUAGUUACAACUAGGUAGCCUUGGAUUAUAUGGCACUAAAGAGUUGUUGAACAACAUGUAUAAUAUCAUUUGGCAGAAAAAAUCAUAAGCUAUUUAAGAAAGGCUACUUCAGCUUGAAGGAAGCCUCUACUAUGCGCCUUCGUGAGGCAACAUCGUUCAAGAAGCCAUAGCCUGAAGGGCUCACACUUGGUUUAGAGCCGACCGCGAU